GAUGAACGCUGGCGGCGUGCCUAAUACAUGCAAGUCGAGCGAACGGACGAGAAGCUUGCUUCUCUGAUGUUAGCGGCGGACGGGUGAGUAACACGUGGAUAACCUACCUAUAAGACUGGGAUAACUUCGGGAGACCGGAGCUAAUACCGGAUAAUAUUUUGAACCGCAUGGUUCAAAAGUAAAAGACGGUCUUGCUGUCACUUAUAGAUGGAUCCGCGCUGCAUUAGCUAGUUGGUAAGGUAACGGCUUACCAAGGCAACGAUGCAUAGCCGACCUGAGAGGGUGAUCGGCCACACUGGAACUGAGGCACGGUCCAGACUCCUACGGGAGGCAGCAGUAGGGAAUCUUCCGCAAUGGGCGAAAGCCUGACGGAGCAACGCCGCGUGAGUGAUGAAGGUCUUCGGAUCGUAAAACUCUGUUAUUAGGGAAGAACAUAUGUGUAAGUAACUGUGCACAUCUUGACGGUACCUAAUCAGAAAGCCACGGCUAACUACGUG
rnacentral:rRNA from 1 species